rnacentral:rRNA from 1 species
AGUGAACGCUGGCGGUAGGCCUAACACAUGCAAGUCGAACGGCAGCACAGUAAGAGCUUGCUCUUACGGGUGGCGAGUGGCGGACGGGUGAGGAAUACAUCGGAAUCUACUUUUUCGUGGGGGAUAACGUAGGGAAACUUACGCUAAUACCGCAUACGACCUACGGGUGAAAGCAGGAGAUCUUCGGACCUUGCGCGAUUGAAUGAGCCGAUGUCGGAUUAGCUAGUUGGCGGGGUAAAGGCCCACCAAGGCGACGAUCCGUAGCUGGUCUGAGAGGAUGAUCAGCCACACUGGAACUGAGACACGGUCCAGACUCCUACGGGAGGCAGCAGUGGGGAAUAUUGGACAAUGGGCGCAAGCCUGAUCCAGCCAUACCGCGUGGGUGAAGAAGGCCUUCGGGUUGUAAAGCCCUUUUGGUGGGAAAGAAAAGCAGCAGGUUAAUACCCCGCUGUUCUGACGGUACCCAAAGAAUAAGCACCGGCUAACUUCGUG